AUGGGGUGCUUCAGCUCCAAGCCGGACGACGCCAGCGUGCUGAUCAGGAGGCGGCCUGCCAGCAUCGGCGAGGUUGCCGUCUUCGUGCCGGGGCUGCGCGUCCCCGAGCCACUGGAGCUGCCCCCGCCGCUCGCCGACAGCCUCCCCAGAAGGCUCACCGAGCGGCUGGCCGCGUCGAGGGACCGCAUCGCCAACAUGGCCGCCCGCGAGGCGCUCGCCGUCACCAAGCCCCGCAGGCGUGCCGCCACACAGCAUGGGGCGUCCACGUCCGCUGAUCUUGUGCAGGCCUUGGAGGAGUACCUGCCAGUCAUUCUAGGGAUGGCGAAGGAUGGCAGCGAGCUGGAGGACAAGAUACAGUUUGCGUGGAUGAACCAAGAAGACGAUGCAGAGGAGACGGCACUGCCCAGCGCCUGGUACGAGGUGCUGUCGGUUCUGCACAUGAUGGCCAUGCUCCGUUUAUCACAAGCAAACUCCCUGCUACUGCCAAAGACGUCUCUUGAAGGAUACCAUGCCAAAGUAUCGGAAGAGAACAAACGGGCUUCUGUCGAGAUAUUCCUCAAGGCAGCCGGGCACCUGGAGUGCGCCAUGCAGAAUGUUCUUCCCAGGAUGUCGCCCGAAAAGAGGAAAGGUCUUCCCGUGGACCUGUCUGAAGGGGUCCUGAAAGCUACCUGCAUGCAAGCACUCGGUCAGGCAAUUGAUGUUCAACUUGGGUUGGCAAUUGACAGUCCAAAGGCUACCCUGGCUGUCAAAAGGAGGCUGGCAUGUGAGAUGGUCAAGUGCUGGCAGCAGGCACAUGAAAGCAUCGCGGACAUACCUCUGCUCGACGGCUGGGGCGAAAAGCACAGGCUCUUUGUCAAGUGGAAGCACAUGGAAGCAAAAGCUGCGGCGUAUUACUACCACGGGCUUAUCCUCGACGAAGGCAACACCGAGAAGUCUCACCGGGCGGCCGUGGCGGCGCUGCAGUCCGCGGAGGAGUCCCUGAGGGAGAGCAGGGCCGUCUGCGAGGCCUUCCACACCGCAUCCCCCUUUUCAAGGAGCCCGACCCUAUGGGGCUCGAUGAAGUACCUCCACGACAAGAUCCACAAGGACUCCAACUGCAAAGUCCGCAUCAACAAGGACCUCUACAGCAAUGUCGACAGGACACACGACACAGUGCCGGCGCUGCCGGAUUUCGCGGUGGCCCUCCAGCCGGAGGAGUACCGGCUUCCUCGCACAGACGCUGCUUCUGCAAAUGACUAG
rnacentral:rRNA from 1 species